rnacentral:rRNA from 1 species
UACGUAGGGUGCGAGCGUUGUCCGGAAUUACUGGGCGUAAAGAGCUCGUAGGUGGUUUGUCGCGUUGUUCGUGAAAACUCACAGCUUAACUGUGGGCGUGCGGGCGAUACGGGCAGACUGGAGUACUGCAGGGGAGACUGGAAUUCCUGGUGUAGCGGUGGAAUGCGCAGAUAUCAGGAGGAACACCGGUGGCGAAGGCGGCUCUCUGGGACGGUACUGACGCUGAGACGCGAAAGCGUGGGGAGCAAACAGG